rnacentral:lncRNA from 1 species
GAAUGGUGUCCAUAAUUCAGAGAUUAACAUUAAGAUUAGAAAAUGGUUAUGGAAAAAGCUUAUGGAAACCCCCUUCUCUCUCUUGUUUAUUUAUAUAUUUGCAUCUUCUUUUUUGGGUACGUGAAUAAUUAUUAUGAAUGUUCACUUUUUGCACUUUUUCCUUCUUUCAUGUUUUCUCACUUUUUUACAAUCCACCAAUGA